GGCUUCAUGGUCUAGUGGUAUGAUUCCUGCUUUGGGCUCGUUACUCAAUCUGCAGGAGGCCCCGCGUUCGAAUCGCGGUGGAGCCC
rnacentral:tRNA from 1 species